rnacentral:rRNA from 1 species
AUUGAACGCUGGCGGCAGGCUUAACACAUGCAAGUCGCACGAGUGGCGGACGGGUGAGUAAUGCUUGGGAAUCUAGCUUAUGGAGGGGGAUAACUACGGGAAACUGUAGCUAAUACCGCGUACCAUAGGAUGAGCCCAAGUGGGAUUAGGUAGUUGGUGAGGUAAAGGCUCACCUAGGCGACGAUCCCUAGCUGGUCUGAGAGGAUGACCAGCCACACGGGAACUGGGACACGGUCCAGACGCCUACGGGAGGCAGCAGUGGGGAAUAUUGUACAAUGGGCGCAAGCAUGAUGCAGCCAUGCCGCGUGUGUGAAGAAGGCCUUCGGGUUGUAAAGCACUUUCAGCGGGGAGGCGUUACCCGCAGAAGAAGCACCGGCUAACUCCGUGCCAGCAGCCGCGGUAAUAC